GACGAACGCUGGCGGCGUGCUUAACUCAUGCAAGUCGAACGAUGAACCCGGAGCUUGCUCCGGUGGAUUAGUGGCGAACGGGUGAGUAACACGUGAGUAACCUGCCCUUGACUCUGGGAUAACUGCGGGAAACUGUAGCUAAUACCGGAUACGACCCUCGGCGGCAUCGCCAGGGGGUGGAAAGAAUUUCGGUCAAGGAUGGACUCGCGGCCUAUCAGCUAGUUGGUGAGGUAACGGCUCACCAAGGCGACGACGGGUAGCCGGCCUGAGAGGGUGACGUGUUUGUCUGGGACUGAGGCGCGGCCCAGACUCCGACGGGAGGCAGCAGUGGGGAAUAUGGCACAAUGGGCGCGAGGCUGAUGCAGCAACGCCGCGUGGGGGAUGACGGCCUUCGGGUUGUAAACCUCUUUUAGUAGGGAAGAAGCGAAAGUGACGGUACCUGCAGAAAAAGCACCGGCUAACUACGUGCCAGCCGCCGCGGUAA
rnacentral:rRNA from 1 species